rnacentral:rRNA from 1 species
AUGGAUGAAUCACGAAAAAGAGCUGCCUCUAAUGCGAAUGCUAAAAAUUCAAGUUCAUCCCUUGAUGAAGACUUUGGCAAUGAUUUCCUUUCAUCUUGGAAGUUACCAAAAUCAGGAAAAGAUACAAUUGACUUUGACGUCGAGUCAGCUCCAAAGAGUAGCAAGAAGUUUAGCUUUGAGAAUCUUGAUGAUUUUGGACUUGAUGGAGCCUUUGACAAAUUGUCAUCAUUUAAAAUGGGCAUGUCUGAUUUAGAUUUCUCUAGUCCUCUGAAGAAAAAAGCGAAGAACAACAGUUCAAACGGCGAUGAGCUUUCUGAAGGGAGAAAAGUAACUGAAAAAGACAACUUCUCCUUUUCCUUUGAUUUUAAUGAGCUGGGCAACUUCAAUCUUGACACAAAGUUGGGCUUUGAGGAAAAUGUUAUGAGCAGACCUAAAGAAAAAACUGACCCUAUCUCUUCAGUGGGUAACAAGGAUCCAGAAAGUGGUAUUUCAGGGAAGAGCACUGAUGUUCCUGAAGAUAGUAAGAGUAAGGAACAAAUACAAACACAGAAUGCUUGCACUUUGAAGCCUGCUCAUUUGACAAGCAUCAAUCCUUCAAGUGUGGACCAACUUGAAGUAGAUAUGGUGUCAAAUGAUGUGCUUGAAGAGCACUCUAAUGAGACAUAUCCAACAAAACCAGUUGUCAACAAUUCUUCUCAUAGUUUUCCUUCCACUGCUGUAUCUGGUGAAGAUCCAACACAUUCGAAAGCAGUAGCAGUUCCUGAGAGCAGCAAGGAAGCUCCUCCAGUGGACCCUAGUAAAGUUAAUAUAACAUCAAGGGAGAAUAAUAGCAGUGAGCAAUCAGUUAGUUCACAAUCCAGAAACAACAGCACUGAGAAUGUGCCCAUCUCAAGAAGAUCAGGGGGCCAAUCAGAUUCUCAAAAUAACCAGAAUGAGCCUGUGGAGGAAGGUACAUCUCUUAAUGAAGGAAGUCAUGGUAACCAAUGUUAUAGAGGCACUUCAAUGAAGCCUCUAAGGAAGACAUCAUGCGGGACAAAGAAUGUUGAGAAAGGGACUUCAGGUCCAAAGAAUCUGUCUUCAACAAUGCAGAGGGAAAUCAGAAAUGUUAAACCUACACUAGUGAAUGAAGCAGGAACUUUUUCUCUUCUGUCCAAGUCUGCAAAUACGAAAGCAAGCAGGCCUCCCCAAAUAACUUCAGAGACUACCUUAAAUCAACUAAGUGGUGCCAAUAACAUGAUCAAAAAGACAAAUACACAUCCUACAGACCUGAACAGGGAACACAAGCAUGCAGAGCCUGAUAAACAUAAAAUCACGCCGGCAAAAACAUACUGCAAGCCAGGAUUACAGGGGCUGUCAACCACCUCCAUGAAUGCCAAACAUGGACUUGAGCCACUUAGUGCAGGCAACUCAUCCAUUAAGAAUGCUCCAAGCAGUACAGCACAUACCACUGGAAAUAAUUCACUAACAAGUCAGAUGCUCCUAAAAGGCAGCAACACCUCUGAUAUGAUACAAGGCACUCCUUCCAAAGAUGAUAAAAGACCAACAACUUUCCAACUGGCCGGAUCAAGAGUUUCAAAAGUAGGCACCAGAAGUCCAAAGUCUGGCUUGAUUCUGGAUAAAGAUUCAGUAAAAUUGAGUGGGAGCAAGGGUUCCCCUGUAAGGACACACAAGAUCCCAAACUCCUUCGUUGAAGGAAAAGCUGCAUUGCUUAGUCCGUCCAUUAGGCAAAAGAUGCCCGAGGAAUCAAUCCCAGAUCCAAAAGCCCCUGCUGUGCUGAAACGCGUCGUGAGAUCUCCAGCUGUGAGAAUAUCACCGCAAACUGUUCCAGAGUUGGGGAAUCAAACAAUUCAAAGUGGAACUCCGAAAGCUCGUAUGGAUAAUGCAGUUUCUUCCACAAUACGGGAGAUGGGUGACAUUUCAGAUCUAGAGUUGCCUGCCCUGUUAGAAGAUGAUGGAAAUGUAGAGAAAGCUGAGGCUUGUAGAAAACAGCUUGAAGAUAUGUGCAUUUUGAUGAAAAAGAAACACACGGAAGCUAAAGAACUAGCAGUUCGGGCUAUUGUUAACAACAAUAUGCUGUUGAUGCUAAACCACCCAAUGUUUGAGGAGAAAAUAUCCUUUCCUACUUCUAACCAAUUCACAUGUUACUACUGUAUAUUCACAUACAUGGAUGUUAAACUUGGGAUUCCUUCACCAGAAGAACCUUUCUGCUCUUCAGAAAUACGCCGACAGCAUGAGAUCCAAGCACUUACUUGA